rnacentral:rRNA from 1 species
GACGAACGCUGGCGGCGUGCUUAACACAUGCAAGUCGAACGAUGAACCCGGAGCUUGCUCCGGUGGAUUAGUGGCGAACGGGUGAGUAACACGUGAGUAACCUGCCCUUGACUCUGGGAUAACUGCGGGAAACUGUAGCUAAUACCGGAUACGACCCUCGGCGGCAUCGCCAGGGGGUGGAAAGAAUUUCGGUCAAGGAUGGACUCGCGGCCUAUCAGCUAGUUGGUGAGGUAACGGCUCACCAAGGCGACGACGGGUGGCCGGCCUGAGAGGGUGACCGGCCACACUGGGACUGAGAAACUGCCCAGACUCCUGCGGGAGGCAGCAGUGGGGAAUAUUGCACAAUGGGCGCAAGCCUGAUGCAGCAACGCCGCGUGAGGGAUGACGGCCUUCGGGUUGUAAACCUCUGUUAGUAGGGAAGAAGCGAAAGUGACGGUACCUGCAGAAUAAGCACCUGCUAACUCUGUGCCAGCCGCCGCAGUAA